UUUGAAUAACAAACAGUUGGGUGACCACGUGACCGCGUUGCCAUGACAGCGCGUCUUGUUGCAAGCCGCGGCUAGCUGGCGGUGUUAGCUCGUCGAGUUCACGGGAGGCUGCUCGGUGUUCAACUAUGCCGCCGAAGACCAAAACCAAGAAGGCCGGGAAGGGGAAGUCCUCCUCGGUGGUGGACGGCCUGUCGACGGAGGAGAUGUCAAAAGAUCAGCUGGAGGAACACAUCAUCCGUCUCCGGGAGGAGCUGGACCGAGAGCGGGAGGAGAGGAGCUUCUUCCAGCUGGAGCGGGACAAGAUCCAGGCUCUGUGGGAGAUCUCCAAGAGGAACCUGGAGGAGACCAAGGCCGAGCUGAGGAACCAACACAGGGAGAAGGAGGAGGCCGAGGAGCGCCACCGAGUGGAGAUCACAGUGUACAAGCAGAAGCUGAAGCAUGUUCUGUCGGAGCACCACAACACGACGACAGAGCAGAAGCUGGAGGGCGUGGCCUCGUCCUCACUGGUCCAGAACAGGCACCGGGAGGCGGAGCUCAGGCUGUGCAAAGAUGUUGAGGGCCUGCAGGCAGAACUCAAGGAGAAGAAGCUCCACGGCGAGAGCUCCAUCAAGGAGCUGAAACUGAAACACCAGGUGGAGCUCAUGGAGCUGACCAACCAGUACGACCGCAGGAUGCGAGACAUGGAGCUGAAGUUCCACCACCAGAUGCAGUCUCUGAUGGAGGUGGAGGAGAAGCGUCGUCGGGCCGAGGUUCUGGAGCUGGAGGACCAGAUGAAGAGCCGCGUGGUGGUUCUGCUGGAGGACCAGGACCGGGCUCUGCGGGGAGCCGAGGAGUUUUACGCUUCUGUCCAGAACAAGCUGCUGCUGGAUCAGAACAUGCUGAAGGAGGAGCUGGCUGAGGUCCAGAAGAAGCAGAACCGAGCAGACAGAGAACUUUCAGCAGCUCAGCAGGAGAACCGACGUCUGACCGAGGUUCUGCAGGAGGCGGAGCAGAAGCUGCCAGAACUUCAGAGACGGCUGCAGGAACACAACGAGGCCAAGGCCAGGAUGGAGGUGAGCCGGGCUCAGGUGAAGCUGAUGGAGAAGGAGCUCAGAGAUGUGACGGUGGAACACGAGCUGCUGCUGCAGGCCUUCCACAAGGUGGAGCAGGAGCGUGAUGAGCUGCUGACCCGGCAGACGGAGGCGGUUCUGGACCUGCAGCAGAGCAGCAGCCUGAAGGAGAUGCUGCUGCAGAAGAAGCUGGAGGUUCUGACAGAAACUCUGCAGAAGAAGGAGGCCCAGCUCUGCUCUGCUCUGACAGCGACCAGCACGGAGGCAGGAAACAGCGCCACCAACAGGCUGGAGGAAAUCCAGCAGCAUCAUCAGGUGUCGGUCGGUUCGCUGCAGCAGGAUUUGGCUCAGGACUGUCAGGGAUACAACGAGCUGCUGCUCACCUGUAGGGAGAGGCUGAAGACUCUGGGCGUCUCUCUGCACGACUUCCCCUUCAGGCCGGCCGAGCAGAUCCUGAACCGAGCCAAACCCUGAGCUGGAGCUGAGGGACACCUGGAGACACCUGGAGACGAGCUGCACAACCUCAUAGCACCAGCUAAUGAACUUGUCAUGACGAUGCUGUGGGAGCUACUGAAGGAGCAGCAGGUGUUCAGGUGUCCUACCUCCAGGUGACUGCGGCGUUCGGCCACCAUCCGCUCGUCCCGGUUUCCAAACAGCUUCUUGGGCGGGAACUCGAGAGCUGCCAGCUGGAAGCAACACGACACAAACAUCAGAACGUUCCACAAACGGCCACCUGGUUGAAACCUGAACGUUCUCGUUGUCACCUCACCUCCGGAUACUUCAGCUUGAGGCUCCGGUGCAUCUCCCGGAAGCGACUGUAGCGUCUGAACACCGUCCACGAGUCCUCCAUCACAGUGAUCUGGUGGACGACAGAUGGAACAUUAGACAAUAACAGAUCUGUCUUCAUGAUGUCCUGGUUCCACAGAGCUGAAGGACUAAACAUGAGCCACAGUGAAGAAAAAUUAAACUGGUUUUAAUAACGUAAAACUGAUGCUCAAAGCUAG